rnacentral:lncRNA from 1 species
CCCUUAACAUUCUUCAAAAAUACUUCUUCAAGAUGCCAUAAGGAGAGGCAUUUUCCCCAGAUCUUCCAGCCUACGAGGAGGGUGCAGAGCUUCUAUGGAGGGGUUAAAAAUAAUUUUAUCACUUGGAUAAAACAGAGAGAAAAAUCCAAAUGUAAAUGUUUGAAGAUGUGGUCUUUUCAGGUGCCUUCCUUUUGAACUCGAAGGAGAAAACGUAAAGGGGGAGAAAGGCCCUUAAAACCACUAUGUAGUUUUGCUUUUUUUUUUCUACUUUGCUUUUCCCUUGUGUAGAACAAACUCUUAGGUUACAUCCCAGCCUAGAAUAAAUCUUCUGGGCUGAAUGAUAAAUCAGGGAUUGUAAUGGAAAUCACUGUUGACCUUUAAAAGGGCACUGUCUUUAUAUUUUCACACUGUGCUGUUUGAAAUGUCGACUCAGAAUCAGGAAAAUAAUAUACCAUCGAUUUCUCUCCAUACCUCUUAUAACAGAGCUUGAAAUUGACCUAGAAUGCAUUGGUAUGUGUUUUCUCAUUACGGUUGUCAACAUCAUCGGAAAUGGUGAUUAAUGAUUCAGUCUUGGGAACAGUGUUGUUAGACCUUGUAAUUACUGUAUGAAUCGUGUCCAAGCAGCAACUAGCCUACCCUAUUUAUACCACCCCCCAGAAGUGGGUGUAUUUUAACCUUCAUGUGGUAAAACUUCAUGGUUCUCGAUUAAAAGCCUCUACUAGAUGGGAAUAUCAUUUCCUCACAUUGUUGUUUAUCUUGGUUACCGUCUUCCCCUUGUCCAUUACUCCUUUUUUUAUUUUUUUAUUUCUCUUUCCAUUUCUCAAUGUGCCACGUUUCUCUGCUAAUUCAGUAUAGUUUUUCAUUCUUCUUUUUCUUUUUC